ensembl:lncRNA novel transcript
AUCCCUUUAUAGCCCUAACGUCUGGGACACCUCAGAGCAGCAGAGAAAUCACCGUUCCCCAGGCCUUGCCGGGACUACGAGGCAGCAGAGAGCAUUGUGGCAGGACGGUUUUUCCUUCUGAAGGGUGGUUAAUGAGCAAUGUAGGUGAAGACCCCUGAGAGAUACCUGGGCAUCCUGCCCACCCAAAUAGAAGACCGCGUUGAGAUGGCAGUCGGAGAUGGAGCCCAUGACCAGAGAGAGGGACAGAGGAGAGGAGCGCGGGGACAGUGCCGGACACAAAGUAAAAGCGCUGCCAGUUCAUUUAGGAAGUCACUAAGGAGCAGCCCUGUCACAACAGCCUCCAAAGGACAGAGAGUGAACCACAGAGGAAAUUCGAAUGCAUGUACAGUGGGUUCCAUUACCAGGGAGCCUGAGCUUGGGACAAGAGGAGCUCAUCACCACCAGAAAAUACUACCAACAUGCCCAAGAGUUUGUUUCCCAUACUUUUAAAGAAAAAGAAAAAUGGAUGGUUCUGAAAUCACCUGGGUUUGUUUUAUUACAUUAUAUCUUCUGGCAAGAUCAGUGAUGGCAGAUGUGAUUCAGCAAUAGAAGCAUGGCUGUACUGGAGGGGACUGACAAGAACGUUUGCAGUCGGUAGUGUUCCUCAGUACUCAUCAAUUUGUGAGCCACAAGAAAUUCUAGCUCUGGAGGCGGAUGGUGGGAGUGAAGCGGACCAGCCGGCCAUUCCCUGUUGCCUACCUGUGGUGGCUCUGCCCAGUCAUCGGUGUCCACUGUUCAGCAUGCAUUCUUUAUGGACAAUCUUAUUCAAGAAAAUAGUUGCAAAAGAGCAAGACAAAAUUCAAAUGAUGUACACUUGAACACUUGCCUACAGAGGUGACAGUUGCCCCAAAAAGUUUGCUGUAAAGUUUGGAGGAGGAAGACACUUCCUGUCUUGAAAUAUAAAUAUGAGUAUCAAAAAUAUCUGAGCGAUUUCGUCAAUAUUUCAGGCAGUUGUUGGAAUGAUUUGUACAUGAAGAGCCUGAAUUCUUUGCUGAACUGGUAAUGGGUAGAUACAGUCUAAUACAUCACUAUUUUUGUAAAAACAGAUUUGAUAGUGCAGCAACCUUCGAGCAUUCUUUAAUCCUGGAACUCCACCAUCCACCCUGAAAACAUUGGAAAAGAAUACACAACAAAAAACACACAACCUAAAACACACAACCUAACAAAAAAACUUCCUAAUGUGUACAAAUGAGAACACUAUCUUCCUUACUGUAGUUUGAUUUCUACCAAAUUCUAAUUUUAAGCCAGCAGACAAACAGGUUGUCCUAUCUAUUCCCUUAGGCUAAGGCUAAAGGGAGAAACAGGCAUCUCAUUUCUAACUCCUGGUACAUUUGGACUUCGGGCCUCUAGAGCACCAAAAAGUUUGAUGGGACCACGCCAAGGGGGUCCCCUGUAACCAGGAGUUGGUUAAUAUCCUCCCAUCCCUCAUUCAGACAGGGAACAGAGGCAAAAAAAAAAAAAAAAUAGCAGGGCAACAAACGCUGCCUUCUGCAAAUGCUCUGUAAUAAAUUGUUCUUUCAGUGGUGCAGAAGACGGAUUUUUCUUUCCUUUGCCUCUUUCCUCCUUUGCGGGGAAGCACCAAUGGGCGGCUUGCUUUCCCACCUGGCCCUGGCUGCCUGUGCCCAUAAAUUUGCCUAUGCAAUGCCUGUUUACGGGUCGCUGAUGGAACAUGGAGACGGUGCAUUUUGUAAGCGCCGGGUAGAUAAUCAUGGUAAUUGAUGUUUGGAGCUGUGAGCUCCUAGGAGCACAGGGUCUCUUUCUCCCAGUGAGGCCCUGCUCUCUGUUAUCAGCCCAGCCCAUAAUUAAAUAUCACUCUUUUACAAUAUGUUUCAGGCUCCUUAAUGAGUCUAAAGCAGAAAUAGUCA